AGAAUCAACGCUGGCGGCGUGCCUAACACAUGCAAGUCGAACGAGAAAGGGUAGCAAUACCUGAGUAAAGUGGCGCACGGGUGAGUAACACGUGACUAACCUACCCUGGAGUGGGGGAUAACUGAGGGAAACCUUAGCUAAUACCGCAUAAUACCUACGGGUCAAAGGAGCAAUUCGCUUCAGGAGGGGGUCGCGGCCGAUUAGUUAGUUGGCGGGGUAAUGGCCCACCAAGACAGUGAUCGGUAUCCGGCCUGAGAGGGCGCACGGACACACUGGAACUGAAACACGGUCCAGACUCCUACGGGAGGCAGCAGUGGGGAAUUUUGCGCAAUGGGGGAAACCCUGACGCAGCAACGCCGCGUGGAGGAUGAAGUCCUUCGGGACGUAAACUCCUUUCGAUCGGACGAUUAUGACGGUACCGGAAGAAGAAGCCCGGCUAACUUCGUGCCAGCAGCCGC
rnacentral:rRNA from 1 species